AUUGAACGCUGGCGGCAGGCUUAACACAUGCAAGUCGAACGAGUGGCGGACGGGUGGGUAGUGCAUGGGAACCUGGCUUAUGGAGGGGGCUAACUACGGGAAACUGUAGCUAAUACCGCGUACCAUAGGAUGAGCCCAAGUGGGAUUAGGUAGUUGGUGAGGUAAAGGCUCACCAAGCCGACGAUCUCUAGCUGGUCUGAGAGGAUGACCAGCCACACUGGGACUGAGACACGGCCCAGACUCCUACGGGAGGCAGCAGUAGGGAAUAUUGCGCAAUGGGGGCAACCUGACGCAGCCAUGCCGCGUGAAUGAAGAAGGCCUUCGGGUUGUAAAGUUCUUUCGUUAGCGAGGCGGUAUCUACAGAAGAAGCACCGGCUAACUCCGUGCCAGCAGCCGCGGUAAUAC
rnacentral:rRNA from 1 species